AGACCGCCUGGCCUUGGGUGGAUCGGGUCUCUGGGCAGAGCGUGUGUCCGGCAGAGCUAGGACCGGAAAAAGCCACUCUAGGUCUAGGUUAGGAGUGAUGACAGUUAAAAGAUAUAUAAGGAAAAGAAGGAAAGGAUCGUUUCUGUAUAAAACGAGCUAUUUUUGCAUAUCGAGCGCAUAAGUUUUAUAACUUAGGUGUCUGUUUAUGGAGAGGGUGGGAUACUACCUUUUAGCUCAAGGAGUGCACAAAACGGUAUCAUGAAUUCUGCUCUUUUGAUUCAAACACCCAACUUUGAAGAAUCGCUCAUGGUGCUUGUAAAACACGUAUCCCCAGAUCCCUCCCUAGACCUAUCGAACAACUCCAACGGUCUCGGGAAUGUGCAGGGUUUCUGAAAAGCUUGGGAAGCAAGACCUGACUAGACCCCCAAAUCUGAUAUUGGCUGAAUGGCCGACCAAUGGAGUGCAUAAGAAGUCUGGAUACAAAGGCAGCCCAAUUUCUAGAAAUGUAUACCAGCCAUGAAGAGAUAAAGCUCCAAGAGGAGAUUUCUCUUUCUGGUAUAAGGAUUUAAACAAAACCUAGAAUGUCGCAGUACUCGAAGUAUCCAAAACAACUGAAAAAUGAAGAAGAAUAAAAGAAGAAUCCAAAAGUAUCCAAAAUAACUGAACAUAUGAAGAAUCAUGGCUGGGCACAGUGACUGGCUCAUGUCCGUAAUCCUAGCAUUUUGGGAGGCUGGGGGCGGGGAGGCAGGGACAGGGAUCACUUGAGGUCAGGAUUUCAAGACCAGCCUGGCCAACAUGGUGAAAUCCCAUCUCUACUAAAAACACAAAAAUUAGCUGGGUGUGGUGGCGCAUGCCUGAAAUCCCAUUUGAGGCCGGGCAUGGUGGCUCAGGCCUAUAAUACCAGCACUUUGGGAGGCCAAGGCGGGUGGAUCACUUGAGGUCAGGAGUUGGAGACCAGCAUGGCCAACAUGGCAAAACCCCAUCUCUACUGAAAAUACAAAAAUUCACUGGGCAUGGUGGUGUGUGCCUGUAAUCCCAGCUACUUGGAGGCUGAGGCAAGAGUAUCGCUUGAACUUGGGAGGCAGAGGUUGCAGUGAGACAGGAUCGUGCCACUGCACUCCAACCUGGGUGACAAUGUGAGACUCCGUCUCAAAAAACAAAACCAAACAAAC
rnacentral:lncRNA from 10 species